UGUUGAACCACCCUCAGCACCUUCAUCCAAAUGUCAAGAGACUUCAGGGGUGAGGACUGGGAAACACAGCAUGACUAAGCCCUGGCAUUGGAAAGCCAGGGACUGUCAGACAGGCAGCGUGCACUGACCUGAGGGUUUUGAGCCUGAAGCUGAGUGAUUGCUCAGUUCCCAAGAAGGAAACUCCCUCACAGAUGCCGAGAGUCCCGAGAACCCUGAUGGCAUAGAACGUGGAAACAGCAAUGAAGCAAAGGGGACAGGGAUUAAGACUGAGCAAGCCAGAUUUCCCCAGUGUCUGAAUCUCGAGUUUAACAUCCAGGUCUGCAUUAUUAUUUUUUAAAUCACAGGCAAGCCAUCAUUGGUCCAGAUGGUGUUCCUCCUCCCAGUUCCAUUUGUACACUGGCAAUGAGAGACUCAGAGACCAGGCCUGUCCUGUUUUCUUCUCUAACCCUCAGAACAUUGUUCCUACAGUCCCUGGACUGUGUGAUGAGGCCAGGUGGUAGAUCCAAGGUCAUGGUGGGGUGAUGAGUGAAGGCAAACCAGGGUGAGCCCAGAGAAGGCAAAGGCACAGGCGUGGGGCCAGCGCAGCAUGAGAAGGCAUGCUGGAUGAUGGCUCUGAGGACAAAUACGAGAGCCAGCCCUGCACUUUCGACACUUCCUGAUUCCAGAGAGAGGCAGGGGAAAAUGCUUCAAGAAAACUUCUCUCUUGUAUGUUAUUUCCUCCUACCACUUCUCCUCCUGGGGUAAGACAUGAUCCUGUAUUGCAUGAAGCUCAUCUACACAGAUUGAAGAGGAAAGGACAGGAAGCAUAGCUUCAAACCAACCAGAGAAAAAAACUGAAGGAGUUCGGCACCAUGGAGCUGACAUCCCUGAGACAACAGGAUGCUGCUUUGGUCUGCAACUGUGGGUCAUCACUAAAUUGUUUCCUGAGCUCCUGUUGCCACCCUGUAAAGAUUGAUGUGAGUGGAACAGAAAGUACAGUUUUCCCCUCAGAGCAUCCACUUAUGUUGCUUACAAAGCAGGAUGAAUACAUCCCACGUGGUCUCAGCACUUGAGGUAGAUCAUGCGAGCCUGGCAGGUGAGAAAUAAGGAGCAUGUUGUUGCAGGUUGAGGCGCGGUGGAUGUGGAGGUCACUAGCGAACUGAGCAUGCAACUCCAUAACACACUUCUCCAGGCAAUUGUGAGAACAGAGCCACACUUCAACAGGUCAAGGCUGAGCCUUGGUCAGGGACAUUUCUUUGUCAAGAAGAAAUGCACAUUGCUUGUUUUCACACCAGCUAGAAGCAGAACACAAUGUAAGUGCUACCAUUGUCCUACCAUGUGUUGAAUCCUUUGUGUCAAGUAGCACUCAACCUCAGAAGGCAGUGCUCAGACACAGUUGAGUCCAUACUACUCAUCCCACUUCAUAUACAGAUGCUCAGCACUAUUACGUGAGGCCCCUUAGCUGAGCAGAAACUCCAGUGAUACUCUAUGCUGAAAGAUCCUCAGUUUUUUGCACUCCAAACACUAGGAGCCAAGACUUGCAGACCUUCACAGAUAUAUGAACCACAAUUCACUUCACUGUGAACUAAUUACCAUUAGAAACAUGAAAGAGCUAGAUCUAGUUAGCUAUCUAUACAGAGACAUCUGAGUACCUUCCAAAUCACUGGAAAAUCUCAAGGGUGACUCAUUUUGUCAGUAUAACCAAGGGAUGGAAUUUCAAAGUACCUGACCAUACAAAUCUGUACCCUUGAUAUCCAACAGGGCAGCAAAGGGUAGUGUGUGCUUCUGGCCUUAUUCUUGGGGGGCAAAAAGGAAAGUAAAUCCAUCAGAGUCAAUGGACAGUUGUUGAUUUAUGCCAGUGGAAGAGCCAGUGCCUUGGGAAGGCUUCACGAAUGCUUUAGUCACACAUUCCAGUUCAUCAGGAAAUUUCUCUUGCAGACACACUGCAAGAUGCUUGUGUGUGCAUGUGUGAAGCUACCAAAGUGGUGGGGGAUUUGUUUUUGUUUUUGUUUUUUUCUGCCACUGAGUGGGAAUGGCUUUAUACAGGUUGCUUGUAGACUGUAUGCCAGGUGUUCAAACAUGAGGUCUUCUCCCACAUUCUAGACGUGGCGUCUCCAUCUUUCCAUGUUCAUGACUCCUAAGCCUGUAUUUGCUGGGCCCUCAUCUUCCUGAUUUUUCCUUGCCUAAUGCAUCUUCUUGAUGUUGCAUCCUAGACCACCUACAUGCCACAUCUCUGUCAUGCAGCCAUUGUCCUGGCAAUGUCUUAGGCACCACAGAACAUGAUCUUGAGCAAAAGCUUGGUGCCACAAUUGCCAGCAUCAGAGGUCAGCAGCUCCACUGUCACUGCCAUAGAUUGAAAAACAUCAUGUAGGAGAUGUCCUUCCAUUGCAUUCUUUUUUCUCUUUUUGAAAACCCUUUUAACAGCACUAAAGGUUUUAUUGUAUUUAUUCAGGGUUUAACUCUAUUAAUUCAACCUUCCUGGAGAUAAGUUGAAAGAACUCAUAACCUUCUUUUUCUGCACCAGCAUGAAGUGUGAGAGAAGGCAAGAGCUGACCAGUGUGGGUGAAGGAGAUGCUCACAAAACUUCUGGGUUUCUUGCAGUUUCCUUCACUGAGAGGAACAGGACACCAAUAUGCAGUUGAACAAGGCAGAUGGUAUUGUAAAGAAGCAUUGUGAUUCUGGGCAUGGUGUGGUCCUCAGCCUUUCCCGAACUAAGGAAGCCUCUGGGUAACAAGAAAGAAUUUCAAGAGCUGGUCCACUGACAGUCGAAGACUUUAUUGCUCUUGGUUGUAUCCCUGGCAAGGCACAGAGACAGGAAAAGGCUCAAUUUUUCAAGCAAGAGCUGACAGUAGUGGACAGUAGGGAAAUGAGACAACUACUGUGGGAUGCUUACAUGUCUUAAGGCAUGUUGUAGCUCCCUGACACAUUAGUAUUUUUCAGCAGGAUAGUGUGAAGUACAUGCACUUCUUCAGGAUCCACAGUUUGUGUGGUUUCCUGGUACCUCUCCUGGGCUUCAGAAGGUGAGAAAGUGAGCCUAGUGAGGUCAUGGAAAAACACCAGGGAGACAUUGCCUGACAUGCUCUGCCUUUCCUCAGCCUGUGCUUUUUCUGUAAUCCUGACCUCAUCCUUUUCUCUGGUGUCCAGUCUGGAUCCAGAGAUGGUAACAGAAGCUUGCCAUCUCAGUUGCUUGCUGUUUCACCAAGCUUCAGACAAGUUGUCAGUGUGAAGGCACUGACUCCCUGCCUCCUCUGCUGCUGUGGCUGAGGCGCUGCCAACCUUUAAAGUUCCCGUCUCCCUGCAUUUCUGCUACGGAUCCAGAGAUGAGAUAAUAAAGCUUUAAACGCUCCUGUUUGCUCUGCGCCAGUUGGGCACCCCCACCCUUUGCAGCGCCUUUAAUAGGAAUUGGAGAGGUGGAUUCCUACCACAGAGUAUCCAUUUCACUCUAAUUAAGUCUCCAGUUGUAAAAAGGUAUCAGGUGUCCUCCGCACAGACACAGGCUGAUUUGUGGAACUCUGUGAAACACGAAUGCACCAGAACAAACAGUAGUUUUCAGCUGGGGAAAGGUGAGAGUGCCACCGUGGAGCAGGGAGUGCUCAGACUGCACUGUGAGCUCCUGCAGCGGGGAUGCUCUGCACUCCAGGCUGUGGCAGCUGUGGGGGGCCUUCAGUGAGAGAAGGCACCGACUUUUUGGUCAUGUUUAUCAGAGACACAAGGCAAAAUGUGAUUAUGCCCUUCCAGCCCCUCCCCAGGGCUCCCCAUGGAGUGGACUGGAGGCCUGUAGGGUCAUGCCUGUCUCAGUGGAAAGGAGACACUGGAGCCCCCAGCCAAACCAAGAGUGGAUACCAAACCCCAGGGAGGAGCAGUUCCAGCCCUGCUGCAGGUCUGAGCAGCCAGUGCUACCCCAGCCAAGGACCCUGCCAGCCCACAUGGCUGCUGUGCAGGUGGAGGUGAUAUGUCACACUUCCACAGAGUAAAUCCUUAGGACUGCUCUUAGUCCUCUGCCACCUUGAGAUGAAGUUUCAGCUUCUCACUACAUGCUGAGAAACAACCAGAACCAGGCAAAGGUGACAGGGUUCUUCCCAAAGAGGAGAAGGGAAAUGCUGUGUUUCAAUCAAAAUUAAAAUCUUCCAUUUCAAAUUGGACUUCUAGCAGCAUCUUGUCUCUAAACAAAGGCCAUUUAUUUCAGAACUUAAAACAACUGAAACCAAUUGUUUUGAUUCACAAGGAGAUUCCAGCCAGAGCACUGCUCUUGCAUGACAGGUUUUGCACUCUUUCAGUCAGUACCUCCCAGCAGAAAACCUUGCCUUUGGAAAGUUUCCAACCAUCUCUGCUUUGGAGACAGGGCUUAGGGCAAAUCACAUUGCCACAUCAACACUGAAUCAUAGUUGAGAUGGAGACAGAAACCUAGAAGAUUUCCAGGGCAGUCUCGAUAUAUCAUCAUGCAUGAGGAAUAUAUAACUUCAUGGAAGGGGGGAAAUAAUUGGGAGACAGAUAAGUAACUGAGAAAAUGCACAUCUGUUGGAACCAUGGCAGCAACUGAGGGUGACUUUAUGAUUUGACAUUAAAUACAUACAGGUAAAUUAUCAUUAUAUGCAUUGGCCUGUGGGCACAAGAACUUGCACAAACAUACAAUGAAUUUUUAAUUGUUAUCACUUGGUGGAGAAUGUGUUAAAAGCUCCAUAUCACCAUUGACUCUUUCUGUAAGGGGAAGAAAAUUAGUGGAGGCCCUCCCAAACUCUCCAAAGUGUGUUAAAUGAAGACAUUCCUUCAAAAAUGUUAAAUCUACCAUGAUAAUACAGGGAAUUACACAAGUCCUUAGCCUGGCAGAACCUAUUCUAAAUUAGCUUUUCUAACUGCUUCUAUUAGCUUUCAACAACAGUAACAGGAGUGUAAACACUGUAAACAAAGUAUUUUUUCCAUGCUGAACAGUUUAAGGGAAAAAAAAAAAAAAAAAGAAAGAAAACAAAAAGGAGAAGAAAGAAAAAGGGAAAGCAAGAGGGAAGGGAAAAGAGAAGGAGAAAGAGAAAAAGGAAGAGGAAAAGGGAAAGGGAAAGGGAAAGGGAAAGGGAAAAGGAAAGGGAAAGGAAAAGGAAAAGGAAAAGGAAAAGGAAAAGGAAAAGGAAAAGGAAAAGGAAAAGGAAAAGGAAAAGGGAAAAAAGAAAGAGAAAAGAAAAAAAAAAAAAGGAAAGAGGCAGAAUGGGAAAAGCACUGAAGCACCAAGGCUCUCCCUGUUUCUGCGGAGGCAGCUCCUCAUGCUUGAUGAGUGCCUCAUGGCUUCAGCAAAACAUCAGAUCAAGCCCUGAACUUUCUCAAACAGGCUCUUGAUUGGUCUCAGUCCAUGCUUCCUUGUUAAGCCUUCAGUACCCUGCAGGAGAAAGCACUUUCCCUGCUGCUUUGUGCUGAGUGACUUCCUACAGCUUCAUGUAAGCUGGAGUGACAUAGCCCUGAGCGUCUGCUGAAAUAUGCAUUGCUGCCUAAGGGACUGAGUUUCCUAAGUCUUGUUAAACUCAAUGUCUCAAUAUCCUCCAGGCUGCCUCCUAAGUUUUGGCCAAGCUUCAUCAGUCAAACAGGGUGAAAUAUACCAUCUUGUAGUUGAAAUAUUAAUUAGUUAUUGUUUCUGAAGUGUAUUGAAUGUGGAAAUCUUUCAUGUUAUUGUAUCUCUGUCUUUUCUUAUCUGCAAUAUGGGCUUUUUGGUCCCCCUAUCUGCUCCAACCAAUAUUUUACCUAAACCCAAAGUGCAAAGCCUGCACUGACAUCUUAGAGGAUGAGCCAAGUGACUAUCAUUCAAAGAUUUAUUUCACGAAAAGUCAGAACAUUGUGCACUUUCCUCCACAACUCUAUCAGAAGCUGCUCAUUUCUUCUUGCUGGAAGAGUGCCCAUUGUUCAUUUGACGUUAAAGAUAGGGCUUUUCUGUUUUCUUUUAAGUCAGUGAUUGGAGGGUGGAGAGCAAAGAGUGAGCUAAGCUUUAUUAUCCUGCCUUGUCAAAAGGAUACAACAUUAUGCAAAAGAAAUGAUAGGGAACACAAAAAAAUGCUUUCUUCUCUGUGCACUCUCUCUGACUGGCAUACAGAUUUAAAAUGAUAUUAUUCCUUCACUUUGCCUGGUAGAUUGUAUUUCAGAGGCCUGUGUCAAUUCAAUGGCAGGCACUUUGUGCACCUUGUUACCUCAGUCAUUUAGGAAGCUGCAAUCAGUUUGCUGUUGCCCUCAAAAUUUCCAAAUUAAUGGAGCAGGAGGGUGGUGCUCUUUGUCUGGUUUUAAAUCCAUCUUAAAUAUGCAUUUGAUCUCUUUGGUGUUGGAGAAGCCUGUGGUAUGAAAUGAACAAUAUUACCUCAGAGUAAAGACAGGCAGAGUGUUUAAUCCAUGGAGGGGUAAGUAGUGGGGCACAGAGGCACUAAGUGAUUUGCCUGAGGUCACACCAAGAGUGCAUGAAAAAGCAGGGAUUCAGGCUUACAGCUUCAUUACCUUUAAACUGGAGGCAAACACAGAGGGACUGUGUGAUCUACCAAGAGAAAAGAGGACACACAGUUGCUUUUCUCUGCGGCUUCACAGGAUAAACCAGGAAACACUGAGUGAUGCCCCUCCUGAUUUGUUUUUCUAACAAUGUGUCCCUACCUCCCAGCUGCUCAACUCACUGCAGCAUGUUGAUUUUAUAGCCAAUAAAGUGUUUCUUUGCAUGUGUUUAUCAUCCCUGAAAGUGGAAUCCCUCAUGGCCAAAUGCGGGUCUCACGGUACAUGGUGGGGAACGUGUGGCAGACUCACAGCGAAUUCCAGCGUCGAACAUGAUUAGCUUCCCUGUACCUCUGAGGAAUAGUACCAGGAAAUUGCUAACACUGUAAAUUGUCUAAAAUAUGCACUCACUAAAGCCUUUAAAGAGCAAUUACUGUAUGUUAACUGAACACCAAUCAACUGUAAAAACAGCAGUUAUGUGGCUUUAAUAGGUAUAUAAAGGAGAAAAUCUCACCACCCUGCAAUUAAUUCUAAAUCACAUAAAAAUCAUAACUUGUACACUUAUUGCUUAUUAAUACAUAAAAUAUGUACAGCAUGUUAAAACAUUUAAUUAGCACUUACAUAACAGUCUAAAAAUUAAGUAUCAAAUUAUCACUAAAAUACUGUUGAGCUCUUCAUUAACCAUGUGAAACAGCCCCCCAACAUGCAGCACUCGGGUCGUUCUAGCAGUUAGGUGCUUUCAGCUACUGUUCAGUGAUUUUAUAACAGCAGUGUCCCAUGCUCCGUCUCCGGAAUCACCUUUCUUACAAUACAAGCCAUUUGUGAGAAGGCCAGAAGACAAAGAAGGGACAGCAGGAAGAGAUCCUCCUAAGCAAGGUUCAUCAUCUCCUUAAAGCUGUGUUUAAAAACCUGGCCAGUAAAAGAUAGGCUGAUAGCAAUUCAUGAUGUGGAGAACUACAUGAGUAGCUACAAGCACAUCAGGAGAGAGAGGAGAGUAAAUCUGCUGUGAAGGUCUGCAUGUGGAAGAGCAGAUUAGUGGUAAAUGAUACCAUCAGGCAGGCUUGUGGCAGAGGCUAAGAAACAGGGGAGCCAAAACAGAGAGCUGGAGGCUUCUGGCGUUGCCAGGAAGGGAGCGAGCAAGUAGAUACUGCAACAGGAGUGUGAAAAAGUAGAAAAACAAGAGGGUGGUGGGCGCACACCUUGGACUUGACUUGCAGUCGAGAUGGAGGCUUACUAGGCAUCUCAGGGAAAAGGAAAAUAACAGCUAAUAUAUGCUAUUGGGAACUUCAUGCAAUCACGUGGUCUGUUGACAGAAGGAAACCACAACAUAGAAUUACCCUUUGUUUAGUCUAAAUCAGCUGCCAGUAUGCACAUACGCCACAUGAAAGGCAAAACCUGAACACAUUCCCAGAACGCCUUCCUGAAAAAGCCAUCUGCUGCCCAAGAUGAUGUUACCACCCUUCCCACCGCAAUGAGUUUUAAAAGGAUAAAUUUAAUUUUCCAGGCAAGAUAACAUCCUCACCUCAGCAGCACAGCUUAAGGUUGCCAACUGCAGGCAAGGCACUAGUUUCUUCACAGAGGUUCUCAUCUCUUGUGUGCAGACUCACAGAAGAGGCACGUGUGUGGAAGGGGUUUGCAUGCAGCCACUGUAGCCCAUCACUCUUGUGGGUUAGAGAAAGGCUGUGAACUUGCACGACAGCUUGAGAGAAAGGGAAGGAUUGCUAACAGUCAGCGCAAAGGAAGGCAGAGCUGCCAGCAAGUUGGGUGGAUUAUUGGAGGAAGACCUGUGAUUUCGUGCUGCUUGGCUUGCAGAUGUAAGUGGUAGAGGAAGGACGUUGAACCAGCCCCCUGACUUCUGCAGGGCACCAGUGAAAGUGCCUGGUCAAAGCGAAAGUCCAACAAGUGAGGGCCAUUUCUUGGCCCCAGACAAACAGGUGCAUGGUUGCUUCUCACCAGAGUGGGUAGAAAAACCUCCCUUUCCUCUGAAGUGUCCUUUAACAGACCCCAAGGUGGUGGGAAGAUCUGUUCCACCUGAGAAAAACCGUGUUCACUGACUAAUUUUGCCUAAAUUAUUUUACUCUAUCUGAUUGCAUUUUUACUCAUCUUGAUAGUAAAUAUGAAUUUAUUGUACUUUAUUGUAGCUUUAAAGAUAUGUCAUACGAAAAUAAAAUAUUGCAUGCCUUUGAUGCACAAA